UAUACAUGCAAGUCGAACGAACUCUGGUAUUGAUUGGUGCUUGCAUCAUGAUCUUACAUUUGAGUGAGUGGCGAACUGGUGAGUAACACGUGGGAAACCUGCCCAGAAGCGGGGGAUAACACCUGGAAACAGAUGCUAAUACCGCAUAACAACUUGGACCGCAUGGUCCGAGCUUGAAAGAUGGCUUCGGCUAUCACUUUUGGAUGGUCCCGCGGCGUAUUAGCUAGAUGGUGGGGUAACGGCUCACCAUGGCAAUGAUACGUAGCCGACCUGAGAGGGUAAUCGGCCACAUUGGGACUGAGACACGGCCCAAACUCCUACGGGAGGCAGCAGUAGGGAAUCUUCCACAAUGGACGAAAGUCUGAUGGAGCAACGCCGCGUGAGUGAAGAAGGGUUUCGGCUCGUAAAACUCUGUUGUUAAAGAAGAACAUAUCUGAGAGUAACUGUUCAGGUAUUGACGGUAUUUAACCAGAAAGCCACGGCUAACUACGUGCCAGCAGCCGCGGUAAUACGUAGGUGGCAAGCGUUGUCCGGAUUUAUUGGGCGUAAAGCGAGCGCAGGCGGUUUUUUAAGUCUGAUGUGAAAGCCUUCGGCUCAACCGAAGAAGUGCAUCGGAAACUGGGAAACUUGAGUGCAGAAGAGGACAGUGGAACUCCAUGUGUAGCGGUGAAAUGCGUAGAUAUAUGGAAGAACACCAGUGGCGAAGGCGGCUGUCUGGUCUGUAACUGACGCUGAGGCUCGAAAGUAUGGGUAGCAAACAGGAUUAGAUACCCUGGUAGUCCAUACCGUAAACGAUGAAUGCUAAGUGUUGGAGGGUUUCCGCCCUUCAGUGCUGCAGCUAACGCAUUAAGCAUUCCGCCUGGGGAGUACGGCCGCAAGGCUGAAACUCAAAGGAAUUGACGGGGGCCCGCACAAGCGGUGGAGCAUGUGGUUUAAUUCGAAGCUACGCGAAGAACCUUACCAGGUCUUGACAUACUAUGCAAAUCUAAGAGAUUAGACGUUCCCUUCGGGGACAUGGAUACAGGUGGUGCAUGGUUGUCGUCAGCUCGUGUCGUGAGAUGUUGGGUUAAGUCCCGCAACGAGCGCAACCCUUAUUAUCAGUUGCCAGCAUUAAGUUGGGCACUCUGGUGAGACUGCCGGUGACAAACCGGAGGAAGGUGGGGAUGACGUCAAAUCAUCAUGCCCCUUAUGACCUGGGCUACACACGUGCUACAAUGGAUGGUACAACGAGUUGCGAACUCGCGAGAGUAAGCUAAUCUCUUAAAGCCAUUCUCAGUUCGGAUUGUAGGCUGCAACUCGCCUACAUGAAGUCGGAAUCGCUAGUAAUCGCGGAUCAGCAUGCCGCGGUGAAUACGUUCCCGGGCCUUGUACACACCGCCCGUCACACCAUGAGAGUUUGUAACACCCAAAGUCGGUGGGGUAACCUUUUAGGAACCAGCCGCCU
rnacentral:rRNA from 1 species